AGCCCAUGAUGAGGACACCUUCUCAAGAAAAUCCCUAAAUCUCUCUCAUGCAUCAUAUAAUGUCUCCAACUCAAUUUGAGCAAAAGAAGAUAUGUCGUUCUCAACUU
rfam:Gossypium hirsutum cultivar TM-1 chromosome 24, whole genome shotgun sequence